CGAUUGGUUAUUAAGAUAUAUUUAUUUUGUGACAUUUUUUAUUUGUCUUUUAAUUUUGUCAACGGGCAAUUAUUUUAAUAUUUCCUUUUUUUGUGGAAAGUAUCGAAAAUAUUACUGUAGAGAAAUAUACUUGGCAUAAAAAAAUACUGAAAACUGUUGCAAAAAAAAAAGAAAAACGCAGGUUUGUCGUAAUGGUAUGAUGCGGUCUAUUCGAGCUGGGCCUAUCUCAAAUUCUCUCAUACCGCUGACAGAGCCAUUAUUAAUUUAAGGUAAUGAAACCGCCAAACCGGUCAUAUAAAUCCGUACUUUAUAUUUACCUCAGAUUCGGCCUUCUGGCCAGCUCUGGGACAAAUACUUCCAGAGAAACAGCAGAGAGAUUGUUAAGUUUUAAGCGAUGCUGCAGUCAUCGACUCUUAGAAAAUGUCAUCGCUUUCCUAUCACGCUUAGAAUACACCAUCUCAAUCCCAUUCUGACCAAUGAAAUUACCCCUUACAUAGCACUUCUUCGAUACAGCCUCAACUCGAUAUUUGAAAAAAAUGACGGUAAAGGUGAUUAUUUAUCUAAUUACAUCGAGGCAACGGUUAUAAAAUUUGCUAAAUAAAUUGGAGAAACAUGCUACUAAAUUUUGGAGAAAAUAAUAUCGAAUAUAUGGAAGCAGUCAUUGAUAGAAGUGUGGAGUGUUAGUAAAUGCGCCACCAAGAUGCGAUUCUUUAACAAAUUGGCCAAAAACACAAAAGAUAAAUGUUUGUAUUUGAAUACCGGCCUUGUAUAGUUAAAAAUAGUGCCAAGAUUUUAUUUUGAAUGCCGUCAUUCAAUUUUUAUGGUUUAGAUUGUGUUACUCAUUACAUCUUCGACCCAUUCUAUCAAUUUAUAAUUGCAAUUACUAAUUAAUAAAAACAUUCGGGGUAUCAAAGCUUUCGUAUUCAACCUGAACAUCGUGUUCAUUCUACAUUGACAAGUGGCAACAGUCAAAGUAAAAUUUUGCUUAAAACAUUUUAGAUUAUUUUAAAACAUCGAUAACACAAUCGUUAACAAAUUUUAAAUACUGAUAUUAAAUUGGAAAAAUAAGACAAAUUAAUAUUAUAUACUUAAUUCAUAGAAUUCUAUUUUGAUUUUCAUUUAUUUUUCAAGAGAGUUUAUAAAAUGGACAUAUAG
rnacentral:lncRNA from 1 species